UAUUGGGUAGAUGGACAGU
rnacentral:piRNA from 1 species